rnacentral:rRNA from 1 species
AUACGAAAGGUGCAAGCGUUGUUCGGAUUUACUGGGCGUAAAGAGAGUGUAGGUUGUUUAUUAAGUCGGAUGUGAAAUCCCGGGGCUCAACCCCGGAACUGCGUUCGAUACUGAUAGGCUAGAGUUCGGGAGGGGUAAGCGGAAUUCCGUGUGUAGCAGUGAAAUGCGUAGAUAUACGGAGGAACACCUGAGGCGAAGGCGGCUUACUGGACCGAUACUGACACUGAGACUCGAAAGCGUGGGUAGCAAACAGGAUUAGAAACCCCGGUAGUCC